AGUGAACGCUGGCGGUAGGCCUAACACAUGCAAGUCGAACGGUAGCAGAGUGAAAGCUUGUUCUUUGGUGAGGCGAGGGGCGGGCGUGUGAGGAAUAUAUGGGACUGUCCGUUUGCGGGGGGUAUAAAGUGGGGACAGUUACUAAUAUCGCAUAACCUAGCUACGGCUAAGAGCGGGAGCUCUGCGGCCCUUGCCCGCGUGAAUGCGCCGAUGGGGGUUGCGCGUAGUGGGGGUGACGGCUCACCCAGGGGACGAUCCCUAGCUGGGCUGAGAGAGUGAGCAGCCACACUGGAACUGAGACACGGUCCAGACUCCUACGGGAGGCAGCAGUGGGGAAUAUUGCACGAUGGGCGCAAGCCUGAUGCAGCCAUGCCGCGUGUAUGAAGAAGGCCUUCGGGUUGUAAAGUACUUUCAGCGGGGAGGAAGGGAGUAAAGUUAAUACCUUUGCUCAUUGACGUUACCCGCAGAAGAAGCACCGGCUAACUCCGUG
rnacentral:rRNA from 1 species